UACGAAGGGUGCGAGCGUUAUUCGGAAUCACUGGGCGUAAAGGGUGCGUAGACGGUAUGUUAAGUUUGUUGUUAAAGGCUCCGGCCUAACUGGAGUAUUGCGAUGAAAACUGGCAAACUAGAGGGUGAGAGAGAGAAGUGGAAUUCCCGGAGUAGCGGUAAAAUGCGUGGAUCUCGGGAGGAACACCAAUGGCGAAGGCAGCUUCUUGGCUCAUACCUGACGUUGAGGCACGAAAGCGUGGGGAGCAAACAGG
rnacentral:rRNA from 1 species